AAAAAACACUCCUCUUAUAUACUCCCUUAUCUCACCGUUUUCCUCACUCUAUUAUACUUUUAUUAAAUUUCUUUUCUUGUUACUUGUAGUCUUUAUUAAUCUCCUUAUUUAACUUGUUAGUUUAUAAUUAAUUUUGUUGAUUUCAGCUGUAUCAUUUUUUUAAUUAAGGAAAACUUAUUUAAUUUUGGAUAUCCUCUAAUUAAUCAGGGAUAUCCUCUAAUUAAUCAGGGAAGUACUUUUUUAAUCCUGGAAAAACAUUUCACAUUGCGGAAAUAGUUUCUUAGGACAGUGUCUAUCACGACUCAAGUAAUUUAUAUAAAAUAUUAUAACCGUAAUUUUUUUUAUUUUUUUUUUUUAUUAUUAUUAUUAUUAUUAUUAUUAUUAUUAUUACCAUUAUUAUUGUUGUUGUUAUUAUUAUUAUUAUAACUUGUUGAUAUUAUAAUAUAAAAUUAUUAUCAUUAUUGCAAUUUAUUUCGCAGUUGAUAUUAAAAUUUAUUAUUAUUUUCCAACAGCUUCAAACCCACAUCUCGGGUAAAGACUUUGCAUGCAAACCGACACCACUAAGCCAAUUAUCACAUUUGCAUAUGAACUAAAUAAGGUCUUGGCAAGAUAAAGGGUCUGAAUCACAUUGAGGAAGAUGAAGGAAGCCUAUAAAAAAUCAUGAGUCAUAUAUGAGGAAACCCAACUUGGGGACUAGAGAUCCUAUAACUAGGUUCAAUGAAAGAACGAAUCAUAUGAUGACUUGGUGUGGAUGCAUUAUUGUUUUAUCCCUUUGAGUGCAUUUUUUUCUUGUAAUGAUUUGGGAAGAUUGAGUCUAAAGAACUCUUAAUGAAAUUUUGUAUCUCUUA